rnacentral:rRNA from 1 species
UACAGAGGUCUCAAGCGUUGUUCGGAUUCAUUGGGCGUAAAGGGUGUGUAGGUGGCGCGCUAAGUCGGGUGUGAAAUUUCGGAGCUUAACUCCGAAACUGCAUUUGAUACUGCGGUGCUUGAGGACUGGAGAGGAGACUGGAAUUUACGGUGUAGCAGUGAAAUGCGUAGAGAUCGUAAGGAAGACCAGUGGCGAAGGCGGGUCUCUGGACAGUUCCCUGGACACUGAGGCACGAAGGCCAGGGGAGCAAACGGG